rnacentral:rRNA from 1 species
GCAUAUCAAUAAGCGGAGGAAAAGAAACCAACAGGGAUUGCCUCAGUAACGGCGAGUGAAGCGGCAACAGCUCAAAUUUGAAAGCUGCCAACAGGCCGCAUUGUAAUUUGUAGAAGAUGCUUUGGGUGUCGGCCUAGUCUAAGUUCCUUGGAACAGGACGUCAUAGAGGGUGAGAAUCCCGUAUGUGAUUGGUGCCGGUGCCCGUGUAAAGCUCUUUCGACGAGUCGAGUUGUUUGGGAAUGCAGCUCAAAAUGGGUGGUAAAUUUCAUCUAAAGCUAAAUAUUGGCCAGAGACCGAUAGCGCACAAGUAGAGUGAUCGAAAGAUGAAAAGCACUUUGGAAAGAGAGUUAAACAGUACGUGAAAUUGUUGAAAGGGAAGCGCUUGCAACCAGACUUGCGGGCGGUCGAUCAUCCGAGGUUCUCCCCGGUGCACUCGAUCGUUCUCAGGCCAGCAUCGGUUUCGGUGGUGGGAUAAAGGCUGUGGGAAUGUGGCCCUUCGGGGUGUUAUAGCCCACGGUGCAAUGCCGCCUACCGGGACCGAGGACCGCGCUUCGGCUAGGAUGCUGGCGUAAUGGUUGUAAGCGACCCGUCUUGAAACACGGACCAAGGAGUCUAACAUCUAUGCGAGUGUUUGGGUGUCAAACCCAUACGCGUAAUGAAAGUGAACGGAGGUAAGAGCCCUUUAGGGUGCAUUAUCGACCGAUCCUGAUGUCUUCGGAUGGAUUUGAGUAAGAGCAUAGCUGUUGGGACCCGAAAGAUGGUGAACUAUGCGUGAAUAGGGUGAAGCCAGAGGAAACUCUGGUGGAGGCUCGCAGCGGUUCUGACGUGCAAAUCGAUCGUCAAAUUUGCGUAUAGGGGCGAAAGACUAAUCGAACCAUCUAGUAGCUGGAUUCCUGCCGAAG